AAUCAACGCUGGCGGCGUGCCUAACACAUGCAAGUCGAACGAGAAAGUGGAGCAAUCCAUGAGUAAAGUGGCGACCGGGUGAGUAACACGUGACUAACCUGCCCUAGAGUGGGGGAUAACCUCGGGAAACCGGGGCUAAUACCGCAUAACAUCGCGAGGGGAAGAUCCUUGCGAUCCAAGGAGCAAUUCGCUCAAGGAGGGGGUCGCGGCUGAUUAGCUAGUUGGUGAGGUAACGGCUGACCAAGGCGAAGAUCAGUAGCCGGCCUGAGAGGGCGGCCGGCCACACUGGAACUGAAACACGGUCCAGACUCCUACGGGAGGCAGCAGUGGGGAAUUUUGCGCAAUGGGGGAAACCCUGACGCAGCAACGCCGCGUGGAGGAUGAAGUCCCUUGGGAUGUAAACUCCUUUCGAUCGGGACGAUAAUGACGGUACCGGAAGAAGAAGCACCGGCUAACUCUGUGCCAGCCGCCGCAGUAAGAC
rnacentral:rRNA from 1 species